GCCCACCAAGCCGAGAAUACAAGAAAUGAAGAUUCUGAAAAAGAAGCUGAUGACCAAGAUAAGGGAUAGAAAGAUGACGUGUUUGCUUGAAGAGCGAGUGUGACUUGGACAGCUGGACUGAGAUUCUGCAGAGUGACCCCAUGACCCCACGUGGCCUGCAUUUCCUUUUCUCACGAGAGAUUUCCGUGCUUUGGACUCUCCAGAACCACAGACCAGGGUUUGGCUGCUGAACCUGGUUUGGAGGAGACAGAGCAAGAUGCUGCCUCAGGAGCUCAUCCUCCACAGCCAACCCAGGCAGCACGGGCCUUAGGCCGACCCCGGGGACGUGUGACCAAAAGUCAGGAACCUCUGGACAUGGAUUGCUGACAUCUGGUCCACAAGAUUCCAGACAAGUUAAUAUCUUGGUGCCUGCCUUCUUUACAAGGCAAGUUCCAAGGGAAGAACUGUGGCUCUCCUUCCUGGCCGCCUGGCGAAGGCGCACAAGGAUCCCUCUGUUCAUGCAAGGGGAACACCGGUUCGAGCCCUGGUCCAGGAAGAUCCCACAUGCCGCGGAGCAACUAAGUUCGUGUGCCACAACUAAUGAGCCUGUGCUAUAGAGCCCGCAAGCCACAGCUACUGAAGCCCGUGCGCCUAGAGCCCAUGCUCUGCAACAAGAGAAGCCACCGCAUUGAGAAGUCCUGGCACUGCAAUGAAGAGUAGCCCCUGCUCGCCGCAACUAGAGAAAGCCUGCGUGUAGUGACGAAGACCCAAUGCAGCCAAAAAUAAAUAAGUAAAAUAAAUAAAUAAAAUAAAUUUAUUAAAAGAAGAGAUGUUUGUACAUGUUUGAAGCAUUACAUUAGGUACCUGCCGUCUUUCUUCCUUUCCAUUUUUUUCCUAAAGUGCUCUCACCCUAUUUCCUGCACAGGACCCGACAUGGUUCUCAUUUGAAUUAUGGCAAAUUGGAAGACAUUGGUAGUCAUGCAGGUUGAUUUAUUUUUAAGAAUGAGUUCUGUUUCUGACAUAUAGAGGAAAAGAAUGUAAUUUAUGGAAAGUUAAAUAUUGGAGAAUCUUCCAUUCCAAAGAUACAUUUUUUGCAACUUUUUUAAUAGGGUAAAGAACUACAUUUCAAAGGGUGAAACACAAGAAUGGCUAUUGGGAAUUUUCCCCCAUAAGUAAUUUGUAACUUGAUCCUGACCAGCUCUGAGAUCUGUAUGAUUCAUGUUGUUGCUUUCAUAAAUGUUAUGUCCAUAAAAUGAAGUUCUUAGAAGCAAUGUUUGAGUUCUCCAUUGGAUUUAGGAAGAAUUGCUGGGAUGCUUGAAUAACUGCAGAGCAAGAGGCCCUCAAAUUUUCCUACUUUGUCUUUCAGUAAUACUUCAUAGUUUGGCUGACUUUUCAUCCAUUCUGCUGAUUCUGUCAGUGAGUUCCUCUUUAUUGACAGCCAAAGGCACUCAUGGAAAAUGCUUAAACAACCAAGUGUAAAAGCAGAAGUUGAGGUCACUCCAUCUACUAUGAAAGUGGGGCAUGUCUCUAUCUCAGACCUGAGUCUGUUGAUGAAUACGUUUGUUAUUGUUGUUGGUGGUUGUGAUCAUGGUUGAAUUUUUUGUGUUGUUGUUUGUUUUAAUUUAUUACUGCCUCUAGGGUAUAAUUGUGGAAUGAUAGCUUUAUUUUAA